rnacentral:tRNA from 1 species
AAUCCGUCGACUUUAGAAAUCGUGAGGGUUCAAGUCCCUCUAUCCCCGA